rnacentral:rRNA from 1 species
UACGUAGGGUCCGAGCGUUGUCCGGAAUUAUUGGGCGUAAAGAGCUCGUAGGCGGUGUGUCGCGUCGGCCGUGAAAACCUGCAGCUUAACUGUGGGCGUGCGGUCGAUACGGGCAUCACUGGAGUUCGGCAGGGGAGACUGGAAUUCCUGGUGUAGCGGUGAAAUGCGCAGAUAUCAGGAGGAACACCGGUGGCGAAGGCGGAUCUCGUGGGCCUUACCUGACGCUCAGGCGCGAAAGCUAGGGGAGCGAACAGG